rfam:Nicotiana sylvestris Nsyl_contig9234, whole genome shotgun sequence.
GCUGGAAUAGCUCAGUUGGUUAGAGUGCGUGGCCCUUAACCACAAGGUUGGAAGUUCAAGCCCUCCUUCUAGCG